rnacentral:rRNA from 1 species
CCUACGGGGCGCAGCAGUGGGGAAUAUUGGGCAAUGGGCGCAAGCCUGACCCAGCAACGCCGCGUGAAGGAAGAAGGCUUUCGGGUUGUAAACUUCUUUUAAGAGGGAAGAGCAGAAGACGGUACCUCUUGAAUAAGCCACGGCUAACUACGUGCCAGCAGCCGCGGUAAUACGUAGGGAGCGAGCGUUGUCCGGAAUUACUGGGUGUAAAGGGAGCGUAGGCGGGACUGCAAGUUGGGUGUCAAAUCUACCGGCUCAACCGGUAGCCGCACUCAAAACUGCAGUUCUUGAGUGAAGUAGAGGCA